AUACAAUGACUGAGGUCUGGCAGGGCUCUCAAAAAUGUUUCAGAAGGCUUGACCUUCUGAAACAUGAUGUGGCUGCUGGAGCCGUUUGCCACCAGGGACACUGGACGCUCAUUAUCAUGUAUCUCAAGGAGAAGAGGUGCUUGUACUUGGAUCCAUUUGGGGCCACGCAACAACAAAUGGAUCAUUGCAGGGAUGUGACAAG